rnacentral:tRNA from 1 species
AGCAGCGUGGCUCAGUGGAAAGAGGUUGGGCUUGGGAGCCAGAGGUCAUGGGUUCGAAUCCCGCCUCUGCCA